rnacentral:rRNA from 1 species
GAUGAACGCUGGCGGCGUGCCUAAUACAUGCAAGUCGAGCGAACAGACGAGGAGCUUGCUCCUUUGACGUUAGCGGCGGACGGGUGAGUAACACGUAGGUAACCUACCUAUAAGACUGGGAUAACUUCGGGAAACCGGAGCUAAUACCGGAUAAUAUUUCGAACCGCAUGGUUCGAUAGUGAAAGAUGGCUUUGCUAUCACUUAUAGAUGGACCUGCGCCGUAUUAGCUAGUUGGUAAGGUAACGGCUUACCAAGGCAACGAUACGUAGCCGACCUGAGAGGGUGAUCGGCCACACUGGAACUGAGACACGGUCCAGACUCCUACGGGAGGCAGCAGUAGGGAAUCUUCCGCAAUGGGCGAAAGCCUGACGGAGCAACGCCGCGUGAGUGAUGAAGGCCUUCGGAUCGUAAAACUCUGUUAUUAGGGAAGAACAAACGUGUAAGUAACUGUGCACGUCUUGACGGUACCUAAUCAGAAAGCCACGGCUAACUACGUG